UAUAUUUGCCGCUCUAUUUUAGAUAAUAGUAAAUCGUACAUAAUAAUCAUUUAAAUAAUAUUGGAAUG
ncrna:unclassified sequences S15-Flavobacteria ribosomal protein leader